CCCACACACACACACACAAACAAAGAGGCGUUAGGCUGAGACGCUGAAAGUCCGGAUUUAAAGUGCAGAAAAUUAAGCCAUUGAAUCUGCCUGUCCAUGACGUACAAAGACACACUAUGAGCCAGUAUGAUCCGACCAGACCUUACAUCAGCAUUGAGGAGUUGUCGGAGAAGAAAGAGGCUGAUUGAAGCGGGACAUAUGACAUGGAUCCAUCCUUCCACAGCCAGGAGCGCACCGACCUGUGUCCCACAUUUCAUAUAAGACUGGAAGCUACACUGGAUCUGACAGCUACACACCA